ACACAAACCCCGAGAAAGCAUUCCUGGAAAUCUCGGCCCAAAAAAGGACGUUUAGUAAUUCUAAAAGGGACUACAGGAUGAAAAACAAUAGUUUUGGCAGUUAAAGUUUGAGAUUCGAUAAUGCCGUAGAUCCGUUUGGUCAUCAGGUGUAACGAGCCACACCCAUGUCUGGUUAGAGUAGUGUGCUAGGCUCAGACUAGAUAAGAAACGGGGAACAAACUGAUGAAAGAAUGAUCAUACCGAGCGAAUUCACUCAGAACUAACAAGAAUGAUAACAUGCUCCGACUGGAGCGGUUUAGGAACUGCUGGAAGGCUCUAGGGGAAUAAAGAUGGAAUGACUUCUAAUUUUUAGGUCCGUAUGAUUUGAAAUACUUGCACACAAACCACGCGAAAGCGUUCCUGGAAAUCUCAGCCCAAAAAAGGACGUUUAGUAAUUCUAAAAGGGACUACAGGAUGAAAAACAAUAGUUUUGGCAGUUAAAGUUUGAGAUUCGACAGUGCCGUAGAUCCGUUUGGUCAUCAGGUAUUACGAGCCACACCCAUGUCUAGCUAGAAUAGUGUGCUAGGCUCAGGCUAGAGAAGAAACGGGGAACAAACUGAUGAAAGAAUGAUCAAACCGAGGGAAUUCACUCAGAACUAACAAUAAUGAUAACGUGCUCCGACUGGUGCGGUUUAGGAACUGCUGGAAGGCUCUAGGGGAAUAAAGAUGGAAUGACUUCUAAUUUUUAGGUCCGUAUGAUUUGAAAUACUUGCACACAAACCGCGCGAAAGCGUUCCUGGAAAUCUCAGCCCAAAAAAGGACGUUUAGUAAUUUUAAAAGGGACUAUAGGAUGAAAAACAAUAGUUUUGGCAAUUAAAGUUUGAGAUUCGACGGUGUCGUAGAUCCGUUUGGUCAUCAGGUGUUACGAGCCACACCCAUGUCUAGCUAGAAUAGUAUGUCAGGCUCAGGUUAGAGUAGAAACGGGGAACAAACUGAUGAAAGAAUGAUCAUACCAAGGGAAUUCACUCAGAACUAUCAAGAAUGAUAACGUGCUCCGACUGGAGUGAUUUAGGAACUGCUGGAAGGCUCUAGGGGAAUAAAGAUGGAAUGACUUCUAAUUUUUACGUCCGUAUGAUUUGAAAUACUUGCACACAAAUCACGCAAAAGCGUUCCUGGAAAUCUCAGCCUAAAAAAGGACGUUUAGUAAUUCUAAAAGGGACUACAGGAUGAAAAACAAUAGUUUGGGCAGUUAAAAUUUGAGAUUCGACGGUGCCGUAGAUCCGUUUGGUCAUCAGGUGUUACGAGCGACACCCUUGUCUAGCUAGAAUAGUGUGUUAGGCUCAGACUAGAGAAGAAACGGGGAACAAAGUGAUGAAAGAAUGAUCAUACCGAGGGAAUUCACUCAGAACUAACAAGAAUGAUAACGUGCUCCGACUGGAGCGGUUUAGUAACUGCUGGAAGGCUCUAGGGGAAUGAAGAUGGAAUGACUUCUAAUUUUUAGGUCCGUAUGAUUUGAAAUACAUGCACACAAACCCUGAGAAAGCGUUCCUGGAAAUCUCGGUCGAAAAAAGGAUGUUUAAUAAUUCUAAAAGGGACUACCGGAUGAAAAACAAUAGUUUUGGCAGUUAAAGUUUGUGAUUCGAUGGUGCCGUAGAUCUGUUUGGUCAUCAGGUGUUACGAGCCACACCCAUGUCUAUCUAGAAUAGUGUGUUAGGCUCAGGCUAGAGCAGAAACGGGGAACAGACUUAUGAAAGAAUGAUCAUACCGAGGGAAUUCACUCAGAACUAACAAGAAUGAUAACGUGCUCCGACUGGCGCGGUUUAGGAACUGCUGGAAGGCUCUAGGGGAAUAAAGAUGGAAAGACUUCUAAUUUUUAGGUCCGUAUGAUUUGAAAUACUUGCACACAAACCGCACGAAAGCGUUCCUGGAAAUCUCAGCCUAAAAAGGAUGUUUAGUAAUUCUAAAAGGGACUACAAGAUGAAAAAUAAUAGUUUGGGCAGUUAAAAUUUGAGAUUCGACGAUGCCGUAGAUCCGUUUGGUCAUCAGGUGUUAUGAGCCACACCCAUGUCUAGCUAGAAUAGUGUGUUAGGCUCAGGCUAGAGAAGAAACGGGGAACAAACUGAUGAAAGAAUGAUCAUACCGAGGGAAUUCACUCAGAACUAACAAGAAUGAUAACGUGCUCCGACUGGAGCAGUUUAGAAACUGCUGGAAGGCUCUAAUGGAAUAAAGAUGGAAUGCCUUCAAAUUUCUAGGUCCGUAUGAUUUGAAAUACUUGCACACAAACCGCUCGAAAGCGUUCCUGGAAAUCUCAGCCCAAAAAAGGACGUUUAGUAAUUCUAAAAGGGACUACAGGAUGAAAAACAAUAGUUUUGGCAGUUAAAGUUUGAGAUUCGAUGGUGCCGUAGAUCCGUUUGGUCAUCAGGUGUAACGAGCCACACACAUGUCUAGCUAGAGUAGUGUGCUAGGCUCAGACUAGAGAAGAAACGGGGAACAAAGUGAUGAAAGAAUGAUCAUACCGAGGGAAUUCACUCAGAACUUACAAGAAUGAUAACGUGCUCCGACUGGAGCGCUUUAGUAACUGCUGGAAGGCUCUAGGCGAAUAAAGAUGGAAUGACUUCUAAUUUUUAGGUCCGUAUGAUUUGAAAUACUUGCACACAAACCACGCAAAACCGUUCCUAGAAAUCUCGGUCGAAAAAAGGACGUUUAGUAAUUCUAAAAGGGACUACAGGAUGAAAAACAAUAGUUUUGGCAGUUAAAGUUUGAGAUUCGAUGGUGCCGUAGAUCCGUUUGGUCAUCAGGUGUUACGAGCCACACCCAUGUCUAGCUAGAGUAGUGUGCUAGGUUCAGACUAGAGAAGAAACGGGGAACAAAGUGAUUAAAGAAUGAUCAUACCGAGGGAAUUCACUCAGAACUAACAAGAAUGAUAACGUGCUCCGACUGGAGCGGUUUAGGAACUGCUGGAAGGCUCUAGGGGAAUAAAGAUGGAAUGACUUCUAAUUUUUACGUCCGUAUGAUUUGAAAUACAUGCACACAAACCACGCAAAAGCGUUCCUGGAAAUCUCAGCCUAAAAAAGGACGUUUAGUAAUUCUAAAAGGGACUACAGGAUGAAAAAUAAUAGUUUGGGCAGUUAAAAUUUGAGAUUCGACGCUGCCGUAGAUCCGUUUGGUCAUCAGGUCUUACGAGCCACACCCAUGUCUAGCUAGAAUAGUGUGUUAGGCUCAGGCUAGAGAAGAAACGGGGAACAAACUGAUGAAAGAAUGAUCAUACCGAGGGAAUUCACUCAGAACUAACAAGAAUGAUAACGUGCUCCGACUGGAGCAGUUUAGAAACUCCUGGAAGGCUCUAGGGGAAUAAAGAUGGAAUGACUUCAAAGUUUUAGGUCCGUAUGAUUUGAAAUACUUGCACACAAACCGCGUGAAAGCGUUCCUGGAAAUCUCAACCCAAAAAAGGGCGUUUAGUAAUUCUAAAAGGGACUACAGGAUGUAAAACAAUAGUUUUGGCAGUUAAAGUUUGAGAUUCGAUGGUGCCGUAGAUCCGUUUGGUCAUCAGGUGUAACGAGCCACACCCAUGUCUAGCUAGAGUAGUGUGCUAGGCUCAGACUAGAGAAGAAACGGGGAACAAAGUGAUGAAAGAAUGAUCAUACCGAGGGAAUUCACUCAUAACUAACAAGAAUGAUAACGUGCUCUGACUUGAGCGGUUUAGGAACUGCUGGAAGGCUAUAGGGGAAUAAAGAUGGAAUGACUUCAAAUUUUUAGGUCCGUAUGAUCUGAAAUACUUGCACACAAACCGCGAGAAAGCGUUCCUGGAAAUCUCAACCCAAAAAAGGACGUUUAGUAAUUCUAAAAGGGACUACAGGAUGAAAAACAAUAGUUCUGGCAGUUAUUGUUUGAGAUUCGAUAAUCUCGUAGAUCCGUUUGGUCAUCAGGUGUAACGAGCCACACCCAUGUCUAGCUAGAGUAGUGUGCUAGGCUCAGACUAGAGAAGAAACGGGGAACAAACUGAUGAAAGAAUGAUCAUACCGAGGGAAUUCACUUAGAACUAACAAGAAUGAUAACGUGCUCCGACUGGAGCGGUUUAGGAACUGCUGGAAGGCUCUAGGGGAAUAAAGAAGGAACGACUUCUAAUUUUUAGGUCCGUAUGAUUUGAAAUAUGUGCACACAAACCACGAGAAAGCGUUCCUAGAAAUCUCGGCCCAAAAGAGGACGUUUAGUAUUCUAAAAGGGACUACAGAAUGAAAAACAAUAGUUUUGGCAGUUAAAGUUUGAGAUUUGACGGUGCCGUAGAUCUGUUUGGUCAUCAGGGGUUACGAGCCACACCCAUGUCUAGCUAGAAUAGUGUGUUAGGCUCAGGCUAGAAAAGAAACGGGGAACAAAGUGAUGAAAGAAUGAUCAUACCGAGGGAAUUCACUCAGAACUAACAAGAAUGAUAACAUGCUCCGACUGGAGCGGUUUAGGAACUGCUGGAAGGCUCUAGGGGAAUAAAGAUGGAAUGACUUCUAAUUUUUAGGUCCGUAUGAUUUGAAAUACUUGCACACAAACCGCGCGAAAGCGUUCCUGGAAAUCUCAGCCCAAAAAAGGACGUUUAGUAAUUCUAAAAGGGACUACAGGAUGAAAAACAAUAGUUUUGGCAGUUAAAGUAUGAGAUUCAACGGUGCCGUAGAUCCGUUUGGUCAUUAGGUGUUACGAGCCACACCCAUGUCUAGCUAGAAUAGUGUGCUAGGCUCAGGCUAGAGAAGAAACGGGGAACAAACUGAUGAAAGAAUGAUCAAACCGAGGGAAUUCACUCAGAACUAACAAUAAUGAUAACGUGCUCCGACUGGAGCGGUUUAGGAACUGCUGGAAGUCUCUAGGGGAAUAAAGAUGGAAUGACUUCUAAUUUUUACGUUCGUAUGAUUUGAAAAACUUGCCCAUAAACCGCGCGAAAGUGUUCCUGGAAAUCUCAGCCCAAAAAAGGACGUUUAGUAAUUUUAAAAGGGACUACACGAUGAAAAACAAUAGUUUUGGCAGGUAAAGUUUGAGAUUCGACAGUGCCGUAGAUCCGUUUGGUCAUCAGGUGUUACGAGCCACACCCAUGUCUAGCUAGAAUAGUAUGUUACGCUCAGGUUAGAGAAGAAACGGGGAACAAACUGAUGAAAGAUGAUCAUACCAAGGGAAUUCACUCAGAACUAACAAGAAUGAUAACGUGCUCCGACUGGAGCGGUUUAGGAACUGCUGGAAGGCUCUAGGGGAAUAAAGAUGGAAUGACUUCUAAUUUUUACGUCUGUAUGAUUUGAAAUACUUGCACACAAACAACGCAAAAGCAUUCCUGGAAAUCUCAUCCUAAAAAAGGACGUUUAGUAAUUCUAAAAGGGACUACAGGAUGAAAAAUAAUAGUUUGGGAAGUUAAAAUUUGAGAUUCGAUAGUGCCGUAGAUCCGUUUGGUCAUCAGGUGUUAGGAGCCACACCCAUGUCUAGCUAGAAUAGUGUGUUAGGCUCAGGCUAGAGAAGAAACAGGGAACAAACUGAUGAAAGAAUGAUCAUACCGAGGGAAUUCACUCAGAACUAGCAAGAAUGAUAACGUGCUCCGACUGGAGCAGUUUUGAAACUGCUGGAAGGCUCUAGGGGAAUAAUGAUGGAAUGACUUCUAAGUUUUUGGUCCGUAUGAUUUGAAAUACGUGCACACAAACCCAGAGAAAGUGUUCUUGGAAAUCUCGGCCGAAAAAAGGAUGUUUAAUAAUUCUAAAAGGGACUACAGGAUGAAAAACAAUAGUUUUGGCAGUUAAAGUUUGUGAUUCGAUGGUGCUGUAGAUCUGUUUGGUCAUCAGGUGUUAUGAGCCACACCCAUGUCUAGCUAGAACAGUGUGUUAGGCUCAGGCUAGAGCAGAAACGGGGAACAAACUUAUGAAAGAAUGAUCAUACCGAGGGAAUUCACUCAGAACUAACAAGAAUGAUAACGUGCUCCGACUGGAGAGGUUUAGGAACUGCUGGAAGGCUCUAGGGGAAUAAAGAUGGAAUGACUUCAAAUUUUUAGGUCUGUAUGAUCUGAAAUACUUGCACACAAACCGCGAGAAAGCGUUCCUGGAAAUCUCAGCCCAAAAAAGGACGUUUAGUGAUUCUAAAAGGGACUACGGGAUAAAAAACAAUAGUUUUGGCAGUUAAAGUUUGAGAUUCGAUAAUGCCGUAGAUCCGUUUGGUCAUCAGGUGUAACGAGCCACACCCAUGUCUAGCUAGAGUAGUGUGCUAGGCUCAUACUAGAGAAGAAAUGGGGAACAAACUGAUGAAAGAAUGAUCAUACCGAGGGAGUUCACUCAAAACUAACAUGAAUGAUAACGUGCUCCGACUGGAGCGGUUUAGGAACUGCUGGAAGGCUCUAGGGGAAUAAAGAUGGAAUGACUUCUAAUUUUUAGGUCCGUAUGAUUUGAAAUACAUGCACACAAACCCCAAGAAAGCGUUCCUGGAAAUCUCGCCCCGAAAAACGACGUUUAGUAAUUCUAAAAGGGACUAUAGGAUGAAAAACAAUAGUUUUGGCAGUUAAAGUUUGAGAUUUGACGGUGCCGUAGAUCUGUUUGGUCAUCAGGUGUUACGAGCCACACCCAUUUCUAGCUAGAAUAGUGUGUUAGGCUCAGGCUAGAAAAGAAACGGGGAACAAAGUGAUGAAAGAAUGAUCAUACCGAGGGAAUUCACUCAGAACUAACAAGAAUGAUAACAUGGUCCGACUGGAGCGGUUUAGGAACUGCUGGAAGGCUCUAGGGGAAUAAAGAUGGAAUGACUUCUAACUUUUAGGUCCGUAUGAUUUGAAUUACUUGCACACAAACCGCGCGAAAGCGUUCCUGGAAAUCUCAGCCCAAAAAAGGACGUUUAGUAAUUCUAAAAGGGACUACAGGAUGAAAAACAAUAGUUUUGGCAGUUAAAGUUUGAGAUUCGACGGUGCCGUAGAUCCGUUUGGUCAGCAGGUGUUACGAGCCACACCCAUGUCUAGCUAGAGUAGUGUGCUAGGUUCAGACUAGAGAAGAAAUGUUGGGGAACGUAGCAGAAAUUCAAAAUUUUCCUACGUGUCACCAAGAUCUAUCUAUGGAGAGACUAGCAACGAGGGAAGGAGAGUGCAUCUACAUACCCUUGUAGAUCGCUAAGCGGAAGCGUUCAAGUGAACGGGGUUGAUGGAGUCGUACUCGUCGUGAUUCAGCUCACCGAUGAUCCUAGUGCCGAACGGACGGCACCUCCGCGUUCAACACACGUACAGCUCGACGAUGUCUCCCACGCCUUGAUCCAGCAAGGAGAGAGGGAGAGGUUGAGGAAGACUCCAUCCAGCAGAAGCACAACGGCGUGGUGGUGAUGGAGGAGCAUGGCAAUCCUGCAGGGCUUCGCCAAGCACCUAUGGGAGAGGAGGAGGUGUCACGGGAGGGAGGGAGGCGCCAAGGGCUCAGGUAUAGAUGCCCUCCCUCCCCUCCACUAUAUAUAGGGGCAAGGGAGAGGGGGGAGGCGCAGCCUUGCCCCUUCCUCCAAGGAAGGGGUGCGGCUAAGAGGGGGGGAGGAGUCCAUCCUCCCCAAGGCACCUCGGAGGUGCCUUCCCCCUUUAGGACUCUCCCCUUUUUCCUAUAUCUUGGCGCAUGGGCCUCUAGGGGCUGGUUCCCUUGGCCCAUGUAGGCCCAGGCGCACCCCCUACAGCCCAUGUGGCCCCCCGGGGCAGGUGGCCCCACCUGGUGGGCCCCCGGGACCCUUCCGGUGGUCCCGGUACAAUACCGAUGACCCCGAAACUUGUCCCGAUGGCCGAAACAGGACUUCCUAUAUAUAAAUCUUUACCUCCGGACAAUUCCGGAACUCCUCGUGACGUCCGGGAUCUCAUCCGGGACUCCGAACAACAUUCGGUAACCACAUACAAACUUCCUUUAUAACCCUAGCGUCAUCGAACCUUAAGUGUGUAGACCCUACGGGUUCGGGAGACAUGUAGUCAUGACCGAGAUGUUCUCCGGUCAAUAACCAACAGCGGGAUCUGGAUACCCAUGUUGGCUCCCACAUGUUCCACGAUGAUCUCAUCGGAUGAACCACGAUGUCAAGGACUCAAUCAAUCCCGUAUACAAUUCCCUUUGUCUAGCGGUAUGGUACUUGCCCGAGAUUCGAUCGUCGGUAUACCGAUACCUUGUUCAAUCUCGUUACCGGCAAGUCUCUUUACUCAUUUCGUAACACAUCAUCCCGUGAUCAACCCCUUGGUCACAUUGUGCACAUUAUGAUGAUGUCCUACCGAGUGGGCCCAGAGAUACCUCUCCGUUUACACGGAGUGACAAAAUCCCAAUCUCGAUUCGUGCCAACCCAACAGACACUUUCAGAGAUACCCGUAGUGUACCUUUACAGCCACCCAGUUACGUUGUGACGUUUGGCACACCCAAAGCACUCCUACAGUAUCCGGGAGUUGCACAAUCUCAUGGUCUAAGGAAAUGAUACUUGACAUUAGAAAAGCUUUAGCAUACGAACUACAUGAUCUUGUGCUAGGCUUAGGAUUGGGUCUUGUCCAUCACAUCAUUCUCCUAAUGAUGUGAUCCCGUUAUCAACGACAUCCAAUGUCCAUGGUCAGGAAACCGUAACCAUCUAUUGAUUAACGAGCUAGUCAACUAGAGGCUUACUAGGGACAUGGUGUUGUCUAUGUAUCCACACAUGUAUCUAAGUUUCCUAUCAAUACAAUUCUAGCAUGGAUAAUAAACGAUUAUCAUGAACAAGGAAAUAUAAUAAUAAUCAAUUUAUUAUUGCCUCUAGGGCAUAUUUCCAACAGUCUCCCACUUGCACUAGAGUCAAUAAUCUAGUUCACAUCGAUAUGUGAUUAACACUCAAGGUCACAUUCCCAUGUGACUAACACCCAAGAGUUUACUAGAGUCAAUAAUCUAGUUCACAUUUACCAUGUGAUUAACACUUGAUGAGUUCUGGGUUUGAUCAUGUUAUGCUUGUGAGAGAGGUUAUAGUCAACGGGUCUGAACCUUUCAGAUCCGUGUGUGCUUUACAAAUCUCUAUGUCAUCUCCUAGAUGCAGCUACCACGUUCUAUUUGGAGCUAUUCCAAAUAACUGUUCUACUUGGAGCUAUUCUAAAUUGUUGCUCCAUUAUACGUAUCCGGUAUCUCUACUCAGAGCUAUCCGGAUAGGUGUUAAGCUUGCAUCGACGUAACCCUUUACGACGAACUCUUUUACCACCUCCAUAAUUGAGAAAAUUCCUUAGUCCACUAGUUACUAAGGAUAACUUUGACCGCUGUCCUGUGAUCCAUUCUUGGAUCACUCUUGUACCCCUUGACUGACUCAUGGUAAAGCACACUUCAGGUGCGGUACACAGCAUAGCAUACUGUAGAGCCUAUGUCUUAAGCAUAGGGGACGACCUUCGUUCCUUUCUCUCUAUUCUGCCAUGGUCGAGCUUUAAGUCUUAACUUCAUACCUUACAACUCAGGCAAGAACUCCUUCUUUGACUGAUCCAUCUUGAACACCUUCAAGAUCACGUCAAGGCAUGUGCUCACGUCAAGAUCACGUCGGUAUACCGAUACCUUGUUCAAUCUCGUUACCGGCAAGUCUCUUUACUCGUUCCGUAACACAUCAUCCCGUGAUCAACCCCUUGGUCACAUUGUGCACAUUAUGAUGAUGUCCUACCGAGUGGGCCCAGAGAUACCUCUCCGUUUACACGGAGUGACAAAAUCCCAAUCUCGAUUCGUGCCAACCCAACAGACACUUUCAGAGAUACCCGUAGUGUACCUUUAUAGCCACCCAGUUACGUUGUGACGUUUGGCACACCCAAAGCACUCCUACGGUAUCCGGGAGUUGCACAAUCUCAUGGUCUAAGGAAAUGAUACUUGACAUUAGAAAAGCUUUAGCAUACGAACUACAUGAUCUUGUGCUAGGCUUAGGAUUGGGUCUUGUCCAUCACAUCAUUCUCCUAAUGAUGUGAUCCCGUUAUCAACGACAUCCAAUGUCCAUGGUCAGGAAACCGUAACCAUCUAUUGAUUAACGAGCCAGUCAACUAGAGGCUUACUAGGGACAUGGUGUUGUCUAUGUAUCCACACAUGUAUCUGAGUUUCCUAUCAAUACAAUUCUAGCAUGGAUAAUAAACGAUUAUCAUGAACAAGGAAAUAUAAUAAUAAUCAAUUUAUUAUUGCCUCUAGGGCAUAUUUCCAACAGUCUCCCACUUGCACUAGAGUCAAUAAUCUAGUUCACAUCACCAUGUGAUUAACACUGACAGGUCACAUCACCAUGUGACCAACAUCCAAAGAGUCUUGGGUUUGAUCAUGUUGCUUGUGAGAGAGGUUAUAGUCAACGGGUCUGAACCUUUCAGAUCCGUGUGUGCUUUACAAAUCUCUAUGUCAUCUCCUAGAUGCAGCUACCACGUUCUAUUUGGAGCUAUUCCAAAUAACUGUUCUACUUGGAGCUAUUCUAAAUUGUUGCUCCAUUAUACGUAUCCGGUAUCUCUACUCAGAGCUAUCCGGAUAGGUGUUAAGCUUGCAUCGACGUAACCCUUUACGACGAACUCUUUUACCACCUCCAUAAUUGAGAAAAUUCCUUAGUCCACUAGUUACUAAGGAUAACUUUGACCGCUGUCCUGCGAUCCAUUCUUGGAUCACCCUUGUACCCCUUGACUGACUCAUGGUAAAGCACACUUCAGGUGCGGUACACAGCAUAGCAUACUGUAGAGCCUAUGUCUUAAGCAUAGGGGAUGACCUUCGUUCCUUUCUCUCUAUUCUGCCAUGGUCGAGCUUUAAGUCUUAACUUCAUACCUUACAACUCAGGCAAGAACUCCUUCUUUGACUGGUCCAUCUUGAACACCUUCAAGAUCAUGUCAAGGUAUGUGCUCAUUUGAAAGUACUAUUAAGCGUUUUGAUCUAUCCUUAUAGAUCUUGAUGCUCAAUGUUCAAGUAGCUUAAUCCAGGUUUUCCAUUGAAAACACUUUCCAAAUAACCCUAUAUGCUUUCCAGAAAUUCUACGUCAUUUCUGAUCAUUAAUAUGUCAACAACAUAUAAUCAUCAGAAAUUCUAUAGUGCUCCCACUCACUUCUUUGGAAAUACAAGUUUCUCAUAAACUUUGUAUACACCCAAAAUCUUUGAUCAUCAUCAAAGCAUACAUUCCAACUCCGAGAUGCUCACUCCAGUCCUCAGAAGGAUUGCUGGAGCUUUGCAUACUUAUUAGCAUAUUUCAGGAUAGACAAAACCUUCCAGUUGUAUCACAUACAACCUUUCCUCAAGAAUCGUCGACGAAACAAUGUUUUGACAUCCUAUCUGCAAGAUUUCAUAAAUAAUGCAGUAAUUGUUAAUAUAAUUCCAACAGACUCUUAGCAUCGCUACGAGUGAGAAAGUCUCAUUGUAGUCAACUCCUUGAACUUGUCAAAAAACAUCUUAACGACAAGUCGAGCUUUCUCAAUGGUGACACUUACCAUCAUUGUCUGUCUUCCUUUCAAAAUCCAUAUGUACCUAACAGCCUUACGACCAUCAAGUAGUUCUUCCAAAGUCUACACUUUGUUUUCAUACAUGGAUCCUCUCUCGGGUUUUAUGGCCAUGAGCCAUUUAUCGGAAUCCGGGCCCACCAUUGCUUCUCCAUAGCUCGUAGGUUCAUUGUUGUCUAGCAACAUGACUUCCAAGACAGGAUUACUGUACCACUCUGAAGUAGUACGUAUCCUUGUCACCCUACGAGGUUUGGGAGUGACUUGAUCUGAAGUUUCAUGAUCACUAUCAUAAGCUUCUACUUCAAUUGGUGUAGGUGCCACAGGAACAACUUCCUGUGCCCUGCUACACACUGGUUGAAGUGAUGGUUCAAUAACCUCAUCAAGUCUCCACCAUCCUCCCACUCAAUUCUUUCGAGAGAAACCUUUCCUCGAGAAAGGACCCAAUUCUAGAAACAAUUCAUAUUGCUUUCGGAUCUGAAUUAGGAAGUAUACCCAACUGUUUUGGGUGUCCUAUGAAGAUGUACUUUAUCCGCUUUGGUUUCGAGCUUAAUCCUGAAACUUUUUCACAUAAGUGUCGCAGCCCCAAACCUUUAAGAAACGACAACUUAGGUUUCUCUAAACCAUAAUUCAUACGGUGUCAUCUCAUCGGAAUUACGUGGUGCCCUAUUUAAAGUGAAUGUGGUUGUCUUUAAUGCCUAACCCAUAAACUAUCGUGGCAGUUCGAUAAGAGACAUCAUGGUAUGCAUCAUAUCCAAUAGGGUGCAACUAUGAUGUUCGGACACACCAUCACACUAUGGUGUUCCAGGCGGUAUUAAUUGUGAAACAAUUUCCACAAUGUCUUAAUUGUGUGCCAAAACUCGUAACUCAGAUACUCAUCUCUAUGAUCAUAUCAUAGACAUUUUAUCCUCUUGUCACAAUGAUCUUCUACUUCACUCUGAAAUUACUUGAACCAUUCAACAAUUCAGACUUGUGUUUCAUCAAGUAAAUAUUCUCAACAUCUACUCGAAUCAUCUGUGAAGUAAGAACAUAACGAUAUUCACUGCAUGCCUCAGCACUCAUUGGACUGCACACAUCAAAAUGUGUUACUUCCAACAAGUUGCUAUCUUGUUCCAUCUUACUGAAAACGAGGCUUUUCAGUCAUCUUGCCCAUGUGGUAUGAUUUGCAUGUCCCAAGUGAUUCAAAAAUCAAGUGAGUCAAAACGGUCCAUUUGCAUGGAGUUUCUUCAUGCAUAUACACCAAUAGACAUGGUUCGCAUGUCUCAAACUUUUCAAAAACGAGUGAGCCCAAAGAUCCAUCAAUAUGGAGCUUCUUCAUGCGUUUUAUACCGAUAUGACUUACGUGGUAGUGCCACAAGUAGGUGGUACUAUCAUUACUAUCUUUUGGCAUGAACAUGUGUAUCACUACGAUCGAGAUUUAAUAAACCAUUCAUUUUAGGUGUAAGACCAUUGAAGGUAUUAUUCAAAUAAACAGAGUAACCAUUAUUCUCCUUAAAUGAAUAACCGUAUUGCGAUAGACGUAAUCCAAUCAUGUCUAUGCUCAACGCAAACACCAAAUAACAAUUAUUUAGGUUUAACACCAAUCUCUUUGGUAGAGGGAGCGUGCGAUGCUUGAUCAUAUCAAGCAUGGAAAAACUUACAACACAUAUCGUCAGCUCACCUUUAGCUAGUCUCUGUUUAUUCCGUAGCCUUUUGUUUCGAGUUACUAACACUUAGCAACCGAACUGGUAUCUAAUACCCUGGUGCUACUAGGAGUACUAGCAAAGUACACAUUAACACAAUGUAUAUCCAAUAUACUUCUAUCGACCUUGCCAGCCUUCUUAUCUACCAAGUAUCUAGGGUAAUUCUGCUCUAGUAGUUGUUCCCCUUAUUACAGAAGCACUUAGUCUCGGGUUUGGGUUUUACCUUGGGUUUCUUCACUAGAGCAGCAGCUGAUUUGCCGUUUCAUGAAGUAUCCCUUCUUGCCCUUGCCCUUCUUGAAACUAGUGGUUCCACCAACCAUCAACAAUUGAUGCUCCUUCUUGAUUUCUACUUUCGCGGUGUCAAACAUCGCGAAUACCUCAAGGAUCAUCAUAUCUAUCCCUGAUAUGUUAUAGUUCAUCAUGAAGCUCUAACAGCUUGGUGGCAAUGACUUUGGAGAACCAUCACUAUCUCAUCUGGAAGAUCAACUCCCACUCGAUUCAAGCGAUUGUUGUACUCAGACAAUCUGAGCACAAGCUCAACGAUUGAGCUUUUCUCCCUUAGUUUGCAGGUUAAGAAAGUCAUCGGAGGUCUUAUACCUCUUGACAUGGGCACGAGCCUGAAAUCCCAAUUUCAGCCCUCAAAACAUCUCAUAUGUUUCGCGAUGUUUCAAAAACGUCUUUGGUGCCUCAACUCUAAACCGUUUAACUGAACUAUCACGUAGUUAUCAAAACGUGUAUGUCAGAUGUUCGCAACAACCACAGACAACGUUCGAGGUUCAGCACACUGAGCGGUGCAUUAAGGACAUAAGCCUUCUAUGAAGCAAUGAGGACAAUCCUCAGUUUACGGACCUAGUCCGCAUAAUUGCUACUAUCAACUUUCAACUAAUUUUUCUCUAGGAACAUAUCUAAACAGUAGAACUAUAGCGUGAGCUACGACAUAAUUUGCAAAAACCUUUUGACUAUGUUCAGGAUAAUUAAGUUCAUCUUAUGAACUCCCACUCAGAUAGACAUCCCUCUAGUCAUCUAAGUGAUUACAUGAUCCGAGUCAAACUAGGCCGUGUCCGAUCAUCACGUGAGACGGACUAGUCAUCAUCGGUGAACAUCUUCAUGUUGAUCGUAUCUUCUAUACGACUCAUGUUCGACCUUUCGGUCUUCGUGUUCCGAGGCCAUGUAUGUACAUGCUAGGCUCGUCAAGUUAACCCUAAGUGUUUCGCGUGUGUAAAUCUGUCUUACACCCGUUGUAUGUGAACGUUAGAAUCUAACACCCGAUCAUCACGUGGUGCUUCGAAACACGAACUGUCGCAACGGUGCACAGUUAGGGGAGAACACUUCUUGAAAUUGUUGUAAGGGAUCAUCUUAUUUACUACCGUCGUUCUAAGCAAAUAAGAUGUAUAAACAUGAUAAACAUCACAUGCAAUCAAAUAGUGACAUGAUAUGGCCAUCAUCACUUUGCUCCUUUUGAUCUCCAUCUUCGGGGCUCCAUGAUCAUCAUCGUCACCGGCAUGACACCAUGAUCUCCAUCAUCAUGAUCUCCAUCAUCGUGUCUUCAUGAAGUUGCCUCGCCAACUAUUACUUCUACUACUAUGGCUAACGGUUAGCAAUAAAGUAAAGUAAUUACAUGACGUUUAAGUUGACACGCAGGUCACAAAUGAAUAAAGACAACUCCUAUGGCUCCUGCCGGUUGUCAUACUCAUCGACAUGCAAGUCGUGAUUCCUAUUACAAGAACAUGAUCAAUCUCAUACAUCACAUAUAUCAUUCAUCACAUCCUUUUUGGCCAUAUCACAUCACAUAGCAUACCCUGCAAAAACAAGUUAGACGUCCUCUAAUUGUUGUUUGCAUGUUUUACGUGGCUGCUAUGGGUUUCUAGCAAGAACGUUUCUUACCUACGCAUGAACAACAACGUGAUAUGCCAAUUGCUAUUUACCCUUCAUAAGGACCCUUUUCAUCGAAUCCGAUCCGACUAAAGUGGGAGAGACAGACACCCGCCAGCCACCUUAUGCAACUAGUGCAUGUUUGUCGGUGGAACCGGUCUCACGUAAGCGUACGUGUAAGGUUGGUCCGGGCCGCUUCAUCCCACGAUGCCGCCGAAUCAAGAUAAGACUAGUAACGGCAAGCAUAUUGAACAAUAUCAACGCCCACAACUACUUUGUGUUCUACUCGUGCAAAGAAUCUACGCAAUAGACCUAGCUCAUGAUGCCACUGUUGGGGAACGUAGCAGAAAUUCAAAAUUUUCCUACGUGUCACCAAGAUCUAUCUAUGGAGAUACUAGCAACGAGGGAAGGAGAGUGCAUCUACAUACCCUUGUAGAUCGCUAAGCGGAAGCGUUCAAGUGAACGGGGUUGAUGGAGUCGUACUCGUCGUGAUUCAGAUCACCGAUGAUCCUAGUGCCGAACGGACGGCACCUCCGCGUUCAACACACGUACAGCUCGACGAUGUCUCCCACGCCUUGAUCCAGCAAGGAGAGAGGGAGAGGUUGAGGAAGACUCCAUCCAGCAGCAGCACAACGGCGUGGUGGUGAUGGAGGAGCGUGGCAAUCCUGCAGGGCUUCGCCAAGCACCUACGGGAGAGGAGGAGGUGUCACGGGAGGGAGGGAGGCGCCAAGGGCUCAGGUAUAGAUGCCCUCCCUCCCCUCCACUAUAUAUAGGGGCAAGGGAGAGGGGGAGGCGCAUCCUUGCCCCUUCCUCCAAGGAAGGGGUGCGGCUAAGAGGGGGGGAGGAGUCCAUCCUCCCCAAGGCACCUCGGAGGUGCCUUCCCCCUUUAGGACUCUCCCCUUUUUCCUAUAUCUUGGCGCAUGGGCCUCUAGGGGCUGGUGCCCUUGGCCCAUGUAGGCCAAGGCGCACCCCCCUACAGCCCAUGUGGCCCCCCGGGGCAGGUGGCCCCACCCGGUGGGCCCCCGGGACCCUUCCGGUGGUCCCGGUACAAUACCGAUGACCCCGAAACUUGUCCCGAUGGCCGAAACAGGACUUCCUAUAUAUAAAUCUUUACCUCCGGACCAUUCCGGAACUCCUCGUGACGUCCGGGAUCUCAUCCGGGACUCCGAACAACAUUCGGUAACCACAUACAAACUUCCUUUAUAACCCUAGCGUCAUCGAACCUUAAGUGUGUAGACCCUACGGGUUCGGGAGACAUGUAGUCAUGACCGAGAUGUUCUCCGGUCAAUAACCAACAGCGGGAUCUGGAUACCCAUGUUGGCUCGCACAUGUUCCACGAUGAUCUCAUCGGAUGAACCACGAUGUCAAGGACUCAAUCAAUCCCGUAUACAAUUCCCUUUGUCUAGCGGUAUGGUACUUGCCCGAGAUUCGAUCGUCGGUAUACCGAUACCUUGUUCAAUCUCGUUACCGGCAAGCCUCUUUACUCGUUCCGUAACACAUCAUCCCGUGAUCAACCCCUUGGUCACAUUGUGCACAUUAUGAUGAUGUCCUACCGAGUGGGCCCAGAGAUACCUCUCCGUUUACACGGAGUGACAAAAUCCCAAUCUCGAUUCGUGCCAACCCAACAGACACUUUCAGAGAUACCCGUAGUGUACCUUUAUAGCCACCCAGUUACGUUGUGACGUUUGGCACACCCAAAGCACUCCUACGGUAUCCGGGAGUUGCACAAUCUCAUGGUCUAAGGAAAUGAUACUUGACAUUAGAAAAGCUUUAGCAUACGAACUACAUGAUCUUGUGCUAGGCUUAGNNNNNNNNNNUGAUCAACCCCUUGGUCACAUUGUGCACAUUAUGAUGAUGUCCUACCGAGUGGGCCCAGAGAUACCUCUCCGUUUACACGGAGUGACAAAAUCCCAAUCUCGAUUCGUGCCAACCCAACAGACAUUUUCAGAGAUACCCGUAGUGUACCUUUAUAGCCACCCAGUUACGUUGUGACGUUUGGCACACCCAAAGCACUCCUACGGUAUCCGGGAGUUGCACAAUCUCAUGGUCUAAGGAAAUGAUACUUGACAUUAGAAAAGCUUUAGCAUACGAACUACAUGAUCUUGUGCUAGGCUUAGGAUUGGGUCUUGUCCAUCACAUCAUUCUCCUAAUGAUGUGAUCCCGUUAUCAACGACAUCCAAUGUCCAUGGUCAGGAAACCGUAACCAUCUAUUGAUUAACGAGCUAGUCAACUAGAGGCUUACUAGGGACAUGGUGUUGUCUAUGUAUCCACACAUGUAUCUGAGUUUCCUAUCAAUACAAUUCUAGCAUGGAUAAUAAACGAUUAUCAUGAACAAGGAAAUAUAAUAAUAAUCAAUUUAUUAUUGCCUCUAGGGCAUAUUUCCAACAAGAAACGGGGAACAAACUGAUGAAAGAAUGAUCAUACCGAGGGAAUUCACUCAGAACUAACAAGAAUGAUAACGUGCUUUGACUGGAGCGGUUUAAAAACUGCUGGAAGGCUCUAGGGGAAUAAAGAUGGAAUGCCUUCAAAUUUCUAGGUCCGUAUGAUUUGAAAUACUUGCACACAAACCGCGCGAAAGCGUUCCUGGAAAUCUCAGCCCAAAAAAGGACGUUUAGUAAUUCUAAAAGGGACUACAGAAUGAAAAACAAUAGUUUUGGCAGUUAAAGUUUGAGAUUCGAUGGUGCCGUAGAUCCGUUUGGUCAUCAGGUGUAACGAGCCACACCCAUGUCUAGCUAGAGUAGUGUGCUAGGCUCAGGCUAGAGAAGAAACGGGGAACAAACUGAUGAAAGAAUGAUCAUACCGAGGGAAUUCACUCAGAACUAACAAGAAUGAUAACGUGCUCCGACUGGAGCGGUUUAGGAACUGCUGGAAGGCUCUAGGGGAAGAAAGAAGGAAUGACUUCUAAUUUUUAGGUCCGUAUGAUUUGAAAUACGUGCACACAAACCGCGCGAAAGCGUUCCUGGAAAUCUCAGCCCAAAAAAGGACGUUUAGUAUUCUAAAAGGGACUACAGAAUGAAAAACAAUAGUUUUGGCAGUUAAAGUUUGAGAUUCGACGGUGCCGUAGAUCCGUUUGGUCAUCAGGUGUUACGAGCCACACCCAUGUCUAGCUAGAAUAGUGUGCNNNNNNNNNNNNNNNNNNNNNNNNNCGUAUGAUUUGAAAUACGUGCACACAAACCGCGCGAAAGCGUUCCUGGAAAUCUCAGCCCAAAAAAGGACGUUUAGUAUUCUAAAAGGGACUACAGAAUGAAAAACAAUAGUUUUGGCAGUUAAAGUUUGAGAUUCGACGGUGCUGUAGAUCCGUUUGGUCAUCAGGUGUUACGAGCCACACCCAUGUCUAGCUAGAAUAGUGUGCUAGGCUCAGGCUAGAGAAGAAAAGGGGAACAAACUAAUGAAAGAAUGAUCAAUACGAGGGAAUUCACUCAGAACUAACAAUAAUGAUAACGUGCUCCGACUGGAGCGGUUUAGGAACUGCUGGAAGGCUCUAGGCGAAUAAAGAUGGAAUGACUUCUAAUUUUUACGUCCGUAUGAUUUGAAAUACUUGCACACAAACCACGCAAAAGCGUUCCUGGAAAUCUCGGCCUAAAAAGGACGUUUAGUAAUUCUAAAAGGGACUACAGGAUGAAAAAUAAUAGUUUGGGCAGUUAAAAUUUGAGAUUCGACGGUGCCGUAGAUCCGUUUGGUCAUCAGGUGUUACGAGCCACACCCAUGUCUAGCUAGAAUAGUGUGUUAGGCUCAGGCUAGAGAAGAAACGAGGAACAAACUGAUGAAAGAAUGAUCAUACCAAGGGAAUUCACUCAGAACUAACAAGAAUGAUAACGUGCUCCGACUGGAGCAGUUUAGAAACUGCUGGAAGGCUCUAGGGGAAUAAAGAUGGAAUGACUUCUGAUUUUUAGGUCCGUAUGAUUUGAAAUACGUGCACACAAACCCCGCGAAAGCGUUCCUGGAAAUCUCAGCCCAAAAAAGGACGUUUAGUAAUUCUAAAAGGGACUACAACAUGAAAAACAAUAGUUUUGGCAGUUAAAGUUUGAGAUUUCAUGGUGCCGUAGAUCUGUUUGGUCAUCAGGUGUUACGAGCCACACCCAUGUCUAGCUAGAAUAGUGUGUUAGGCUCAGGCUAGAAAAGAAACGGGAAACAAAGUGAUGAAAGAAUGACCAUACCGAGGGAAUUCACUCAGAACUAACAAGAAUGAUAACAUGCUCCGACUUGAGCGGUUUAGGAACUGCUGGAAGGCUCUAGGGGAAUAAAGAUGGAAUGACUUCUAAUGUUUAGGUCCGUAUGAUUUGAAAUACUUGCACAUAAACCGCACAAAAGCGUUCCUGGAAAUCUCAGCCCAAAAAAGGACGUUUAGUAAUUCUAAAAGGGACUACAGGAUGAAAAACAAUAGUUUUGGCAGUUAAAGUUUGAGAUUCGACGGUGCCGUAGAUCCGUUUGGUCAUCAGGUGUUACGAGCCACACCCAUGUCUAGCUAGAAUAGUGUGUUAGGCUCAGGCUAGAGAAGAAAC
rnacentral:lncRNA from 1 species